UGUGGGAGCGGGCUUGCUCGCGAUGGGAGCGACGCGGUCUAUCUGUCAGACCACGGCGAUCCCAUCGCGGGCAAGCCCGCUCCCAUA
rnacentral:misc_RNA from 1 species